rnacentral:rRNA from 1 species
UUGUCCUACGGGGGGCAGCAGUAGGGAAUCUUCCACAAUGGGCGAAAGCCUGAUGGAGCAACGCCGCGUGGGUGAAGAAGGUCUUCGGAUCGUAAAACCCUGUUGUUAGAGAAGAAAGUGCGUGAGAGUAACUGUUCACGUUUCGACGGUAUCUAACCAGAAAGCCACGGCUAACUACGUGCCAGCAGCCGCGGAAAUACGAAGGAGGCAAGCGUUAUCCGGAUUUAUUGGGCGUAAAGGGAACGCAGGGGG